AGGGAAAUCCAACACACAAGGCAGAGGAAUGUUAUUUCAUACAGACAAAGGAGGAACUUGGGUGCGGUUAUUUUAAACCAAAGUCCAUUGGAGAAAAGCAAGAGUUCAGGGUGGUGAUGGUUUCUCACAGGCUGAGUUUCUGGGGUAGUCAUUUUCUGUUUGGGAUGCAUUGUACAUUUCUUCCUGUAAUUAAUGAUUCUUUCCUGUUGACAACUUCUUUGUGUUGGGGUCUGUAACUGACCAUCUUUCCUCUAAUUGACCUCAAGUGGUACGGUGUGGGAGCUCCCACUUUUGGCUUCCUGACUCCACUUUAGAUGAGGUUUCCCUUUACUAAUUUUCAUAGUGGCAUGACUUUGUUCUCUGCUCAGUGUUUCACCAGGUGAAAUCAUGUGUUUGGCCAGGCUGUGUUUCUUUGUGUAGGCACUGAGGAAGAAUCCACUUCCAAGCCCACUGAAGUUAUUGGCAGAAUUCAGUCCCACUCUGAGCUCCUAGAGGCCACCCAUAGUUCCUUACCACAUGGACCAUGCUGUACAUCCUCUCAUGCUUGAGUCUCUCAGAAGAGGCCUAGGCCGUUUUAAGGGCUCACCUUCUUAGGCCUGGCCCACCCAAGAUAACCUCCUUAUUUGAAGGUCCACUGAUAUGGGACCUUAAUACAUCUGCAAAAUCUCUUUCCCUUUUAAUGUAACAUAAUCACACGAGUGAUGUCGCAUCAAAUUUACGGGCUCCUCUCACACUCAGUGGGAGAGGAUUAUGCAAGGGCAAGGGUCAUUAGUGGUCAUCUUAGAAUUCUGCCUACUAGUCUGCCCUGUGGCUCCCGGUGGUCCAAUCUGUCCCACACACAAAACUCAUUCACCACAUUCGACAGUCUCCAAAUGUCUCAUGGUAUUAUGGCAUCAGCUCAAUUCCAAAAGCUCAUCGGAAUCGCAUCAGCUCAAAGUCGAAAAUCGCAUCACCUCAACCAUCUAAAUCAGAAAUAUUGUUUUACUGGAUUCACGGUGCUACUCCAGACCCUGCUAUGGCUCUUAGUGAAGUGUGGUAUAUGAAUUCUGAAACAUCCGGUCCCAAGAGUUUCAGCCCCAACAUAUAGAGAGGGCAGAGAUCACCAAUCCCAUCCUUAAAACAAGAAAACGCUGGAAAAACUGAAUCCACCUAUAUUUUAGACUCCUCACAGAACUGAGCUGGCAGGGCAAACCACCACGUAAACUCUGGCGCAAGAGUGGAAUCCAGAGUGUCAAAACCGAGAUCUGCCUCCCUGAAUCAGAAUCCUCUGUAGUCAUAAUCUGGUAAGAACAUUUAAAUGGGAAUCUCCUCCUGGACAUGCAGACAGAGACCUGCAUCGAGGCAGGUCUGAGAUCCCCUGACACGGAUGUGAGACAGAGAAGUGGCUGGCAGGUGGAUACUGGCAGUGGGUAUGAGGCAAACUGCCUUUCCAAAACCAGACUGGACGUCUGAAGAAGACCCUGAGUGGCCUGGAACCAAAUCUGCAAUAUCUCUGAAGUAUGCCUGUAUGUAAAAAUGAUUAUACACCAUGUCAAUCUGGAAUAAUCCGAAGAAUGCAAGGUUGUUUAAACAUCAAAAAUUCAAUAUAAUAUACCACAUCAGUAGGAUACAGGACAAAAACAACAUAAUAACCUCAAUAGAGAUAGUAUUUGACAAUAUUCAACACCCAUUUCUGACGUCAGUCAACAAGCUAAAAAAGUCAGUCAACAAACUAACAAUGUAAAAGCACUUCUUCAAACUGAAAAGGCUCCUAAGGAAGACCCAGAGCUAACAUCAUGCUUAAUAGAGGAAGAUGGAACGAUUUCUCCCAAUGCUCAGGAGUAAGACAGAGAUAUCUCUUGUCACCAAUUCUAUUCAACAUUGUAGUGGAGGUUGUAGUCAGGUAAAUUAGGG
rnacentral:lncRNA from 1 species